AAGGUAGUGUAGUUAACACCUGCACUAUUUGACGUUACCUACAGAAGAAGCACCGGCUAACUCCGUGCCAGCAGCCGCGGUAAUACGGAGGGUGCGAGCGUUAAUCGGAAUUACUGGGCGUAAAGCGCAUGCAGGCGGCCUGUUAAGUCAGAUGUGAAAGCCCGGGGCUUAACCUCGGAAUUGCAUUUGAAACUGGCAGGCUAGAGUCUUGUAGAGGGGGUAGGAAUUUCAGGUGUAGCGGUGAAAUAGCGUAGAGAUCUGAAGGAAUACCAGUGGCGAAGGCGGCCCCCUGGACAAAGACUGACGCUCAGAUGCGAAAGCGUGGGGAGCAAACAGGAUUAGAUACCCUGGUAG
rnacentral:rRNA from 1 species